rnacentral:rRNA from 1 species
UACAGAGGUCCCAAGCGUUACUGAGAAUCACUGGGUUUAAAGGGUGCGUAGGUGGUCCGUUAAGUCAGUUGUGAAAUCCCCGGGCUCAACCUGGGAACUGCAUUUGUGACUGUAGAGCUGGAGUGCGGCAGAGGGGGAUGGAAUUCCGCGUGUAGCAGUGAAAUGCGUAGAUAUGCGGAGGAACACCGAUGGCGAAGGCAAUCCCCUGGGCCUGCACUGACGCUCAUGCACGAAAGCGUGGGGAGCAAACAGG